rnacentral:lncRNA from 1 species
GUCUGUUAACAAAAUUACGUAGUGGAACAUUAAAGUUAAAUAUUGAAGUAGGUCGUUAUAAUAAUAUUCCUAGAGAAAAUCGUUUAUGUGAAUGUUGUAAAAUGUGUGUUAUUGAAGAUGAAUAUCAUUUUGUUCUUGUUUGUCCAGCUUAUAGAUCUGUACGAACCCAAUUUUUACCAAAGUAUUAUUGUUCUUGGCCUAAUGAUCGAAAAUUAUUAAAUAUACUACAAGCUUCUAGUAAGUCUCUUACGAUUAAAUUAUGUAAUUAUGUAAAAGCUGCAUGGAAUAUACGAUCAAAUAUAGUCUCAUAACUUUAUAUGGCAUGUCAUUGUAUUAUACUAUUGUUCUCUGCUGUCUAUUCAUGUUUUAUAUUAUGUAAUAUAUGUUGUUAAUUUUGCCAUAGCAUGUCUAUGCUUCUGCAAUAAAGAUUCAUUCA